rnacentral:rRNA from 1 species
GACGAACGCUGGCGGCGUGCCUAAUACAUGCAAGUAGAACGCUGAAGGAGGAGCUUGCUUCUCUGGAUGAGUUGCGAACGGGUGAGUAACGCGUAGGUAACCUGCCUGGUAGCGGGGGAUAACUAUUGGAAACGAUAGCUAAUACCGCAUAAUAGUAGAUGUUGCAUGACAUUUGCUUAAAAGGUGCAAUUGCAUCACUACCAGAUGGACCUGCGUUGUAUUAGCUAGUUGGUGGGGUAACGGCUCACCAAGGCGACGAUACAUAGCCGACCUGAGAGGGGGAUCGGCCACGCUGGGACGGAGACACGGCCCAGACUCCUACGGGAGGCAGCAGUAGGGAAUCUUCGGCAAUGGACGGAAGGCUGACCGAGCAACGCCGCGUGAGUGAAGAAGGGUUUCGGAUCGUAAAGCUCUGUUGUAAGAGAAGAACGAGUGUGAGAGUGGAAAGUUCACACUGUGACGGUAUCUUACCAGAAAGGGACGGCUAACUACGUG